rnacentral:rRNA from 1 species
GACGAACGCUGGCGGCGUGCUUAACACAUGCAAGUCGAACGGAAAGGCCCUGCUUGUGUGGGGUGCUCGAGUGGCGAACGGGUGAGUAACACGUGAGUAACCUGCCCUUGACUUUGGGAUAACUUCAGGAAACUGGGGCUAAGACCGGAUAGGAUCUCCUGCUGCAUGGUGGGGGGUGGAAAGUUUCGGCGGUUGGGGAUGGACUCGCGGCUUAUCAGCUUGUUGGUGGGGUAGUGGCUUACCAAGGCUUUGACGGGUAGCCGGCCUGAGAGGGUGACCGGCCACCUUGGGACUGAGAUACGGCCCAGACUCCUACGGGAGGCAGCGGUGGGGAAUAUUGCCCAGUGGGCGGAAGCCUGAUGCAGCAACGCCGCGUGCGGGAUGACGGCCUUCGGGUUGUAAACCGCUUUCGCCUGUGACGAAGCGUGAGUGACGGUAAUGGGUGAAGAAGCACCGGCUAACUACGUG